GACGAAGGGGGCUAGCGUUGUUCGGAAUUACUGGGCGUAAAGCGCGUUCAGGCGGUUUGGCAAGUCGGGCAUGAAAUCUCUCGGCUCAACCGGGAGAGGUUGUCCGAUACUUCCAGACUUGAGGGCAGUAGAGGGUGGUGGAAUUCCGGGUGUAGUGGUGAAAUGCGUAGAUAUCCGGAGGAACACCAGUGGCGAAAGCGGCCACCUGGACUGCACCUGACGCUGACACGCGAAAGCUAGGGGAGCGAACGGG
rnacentral:rRNA from 1 species